rnacentral:tRNA from 1 species
UAGAGAUGUAGCUUAGUGGUAGAAUACUUGCCUAACAUGCUCGAGGUCCUGGGUUCAAUCUCCAGUAAUGUUUAA